rnacentral:lncRNA from 1 species
CCCCAUGUGACAGAGACAGAAACUGAGGCCUGGAGAGGGCGAGGACCUGUUCCAGGUCACAUGUGAGCCAGUGGCUGGGCUCCAGGUGACCAGCAUCAGGCUCCCGUCUGUCCCUUCAGGCAGCCGUGGUGCAACUGCUGCAGGACAGACCUCCACUGCCCUGACGCGGGGCCCAGCCAGUGCCUCCAGGAGGGCAGACCCUGCCUCCCACUGCUCACCCGUGGGUCACACAUCUUCCUUCCAGAGUCCCUGCCUGCUCCCUCUGGGACCAGGCCCCCCUGUGACCAGAACUCCUGCGACUACGCCCUGCUGUAGCCAGCACCUCUGCAACCAGGACACCUGUGACGGCCCCCUCCCUGCAACCAGGCCUCCUGUGACACCCCCCGAUCCCUGCUGCAACCAGGGCCCCCUGCGACAGUCUCCUCCCUGCAACCAGGCCUCCUGCAAUGCCCCACCCUGCAACCAGGCCCCCCUGGGACGAGGCCUCCCACCCCCGGCCGUGACCAGGCCCCCUGCAUUCAUCUCAGCCCCUUCGCCAUCUCUCCUCCUGCCCACCAUCGGCUUACCCUGCAGGUUGUAUCACCACCCGGGACCCUCUUCCUCCUUAGGCUCAACAGUAAUGCUAGUCUUGUUGUGGGCCGACAGGUGUGCAGAAUAAAUGUUGUGGAAUCUUGGGUAAAGAAGACCUGGCGGGAGCUGAGAGCCAGGCACACACGUGUGAGCAUUUGUCUAGCGUGUGAGCAUGCUGUCUAGGGCCAGGGCCCCAAGCCGGGCCUGAAUCAAGUAUUCAGGUGUGAGUGGUUUGUUGCGAGGUGAUCCCUGGAAGCCCUAGUGGGACAGCAGGGAAGCGAGACAGGGAGGGAAAGGAGCCCAUGUGCCUUCUUCAGACUGCCCUGGUGGGUGCCCAGGCACCAUCCUUCUGUGACCUCUGCGGUGGUGUGUGGGACACACGGCAGCCUCGCCCACCAAGGGGAGAGGGAGCUGGGUGUUCCUCCUCCACUCCUGUCGUCCCUGGCCGAGGGCUGCUCUAGAAGACGUGGCCGGCCCGGCCCCUCCAGCAGGCCCUGGGUGAGCGCAGAGGGGAGGACUCAGGCAAAGAGCUACCGGCACUUACAAUAAGACACGGUCAGCAGGAUGGGGUGAUGGGGGGCGUGGAAACCCCACAGGCAGCAUCUGCGGCACAGGACACACCUGUGGGGAUGCACACCUGAGAUGCUUCAGUGCAUUAGGUGUUGUGCAGCCCUCAGAGCCCACGGUUUAACCUCUUUUUGCCUUGUUUAUAUUCUAGAUAGGAACAUUUUAAGAUCAUGAAAUAUUUCAAACACAUAACAAAUAGAAAACGUAGUUAACCUAUGAAUCUA